GCCGGCUGUCGACUACCUGACGCCCUCCCCCUCCUCCUUUAUCCGGGCUUGGGACCGGCAAUGUAGUGGAGGAAAGCCAGUUGCCUCACGGAAAGUGGAUUCUCCAAAUCAUCUUUUCACUAUCAUCUCUCUCAGUCAUGAUUCAUGACUUAGGGAUCAAGCAAGUGUUUCACUUGUCAGGAGUGAUUGUCACCAUCUUUGUGACAUAAGUCAUUUCUCUAAGAAGCAUCUUUUCCUUUGUGAAAGUCAAUUCCAGAGGAGGAGCUGUUCUGAUGUUGACGACUUCAAUUAACAAGCCUGUGCUGUUGACAUUUUCCCGUGUCCAAUAUAGAAGUCAUCAAACGUUUCUCAGGAUCAAUGCCACUUGAAUUUUGGGUCGUUGGAGGAAGAAUUUUGUUG